GAAAUGCGAUAAGUAAUGUGAAUUGCAGAAUUCAGUGAAUCAUCGAAUCUUUGAACGCACCUUGCGCUCCUUGGUAUUCCUUGGAGCAUGCCUGUUUGAGUAUCAUGAAAUCUUCAAAGUAAAUCUUUUGUUAACUCAAUUGGUUUCUACUUUGGUAUUGGAGGUCUUUGCAGCUUACACCUGCUCCUCUUUGUUCAUUAGCUGGAUCUCAGUGUUAUGCUUGGUUCCACUCGGCGUGAUAAGUUAUCUAUCGCUGAGGACACUGUAAAAGGUGGCCAAGGUAAAUGCAGAUGAACCGCUUCUAAUAGUCCAUUGACUUGGACAAUACUUUUAUGAUCUGAUCUCAAAUCAGGUAGGACUACCCGCUGAACUUAAGC
rnacentral:misc_RNA from 1 species